rnacentral:rRNA from 1 species
UACAGAGGUCUCAAGCGUUGUUCGGAUUCAUUGGGCGUAAAGGGUGCGUAGGCGGCGCGGUAAGUCGGGUGUGAAAUCUCGGAGCUUAACUCCGAAACUGCAUUCGAUACUGCCGUGCUUGAGGACUGGAGAGGAGACUGGAAUUUACGGUGUAAGCGGUGAAAUGCGUAGAUAUCGUAAGGAAGACCAGUGGCGAAGGCGGGUCUCUGGACAGUCCUGACGCUGAGGCACGAAGGUCAG